CACGUAGUUAGCCGGUGCUUCUUCUGCAGGUACCGUCACUUUCGCUUCUUCCCUGCUGAAAGAGGUUUACAACCCGAAGACCGUCAUCCCUCACGCGGCGUCGCUGCAUCAGGCUUUCGCCCAUUGUGCAAUAUUCCCCACUGCUGCCUCCCGUAGGAGUCUGGGCCGUGUCUCAGUCCCAGUGUGGCCGGUCGCCCUCUCAGGCCGGCUACCCGUCGUCGCCUUGGUAGGCCAUCACCCCACCAACAAGCUGAUAGGCCGCGAGCCCAUCCCUGGCCGAAAAAUCUUUCCACCCACAACAGAUGCCUGCAUGGGUCGUAUCCGGUAUUAGCCACCGUUUCCAGUGGUUGUCCCAGAGCCAAGGGCAGGUUGCUCACGUGUUACUCACCCGUUCGCCACUGAUCCCCCGAAGGGUUCACCGUUCGACUUGCAUGUGUUAAGCACGCCGCCAGCGUUCGUCCUGAGCCAGGAUCAAACUCU
rnacentral:rRNA from 1 species